rnacentral:rRNA from 1 species
CGCACGGGUGAGUAACACGUGAGUAACAUGCCUUGUAGAGGGGAAUAGCCCACCGAAAGGCGGAUUAAUACCCCAUGGUCCCUCCUGGAAAAUGGAAGGGUAAAGGUGGCUUCGGCUGCCGCUACGAGAUUGGCUCGCGUCCUAUCAGCUUGUUGGUGAGGUAACGGCUCACCAAGGCAACGACGGGUACCUGGUCUGAGAGGACGAUCAGGCACACUGGAACUGAGACACGGUCCAG